CUUUACCUUUGUGGAUGGAAAGAAGAUAAAUAAGUCAAAAAAGGGAAGACUUGGAUCUACUGAAACUCAUAGUCCUGAACUGCAUAGGGGAAAGCACAAAAAAGGUCAAGACACAAAACAAGAAGGAAUUUUAUAUUAGUGAGAUUCAUUUCAGAAUUGAUGAAUCAGAUGUCAACUGGGAAGGGAUAUUGAAAGUCCCUAGCAAGGGAGAAGAAUGCAUCAUAAAACUUGAAGAUAAGAGCUCAGGUGAAUUAUAUGCUCGGGCAUUUUUAAGAGAGAGUCGCAUCCAGGGGAGCAUCCAGUGGAGCCUGUUAUUGACAGCAGCGUGUGGUUUUCCAGAUUAUUGGUACAUGGUGAUUUCAAGGACAGUUUUAGUUUAGUUCAGUUACUUUGAACUAUUUUUUAGUUCAGUGCAGUUAUUUUGAACUGAUCUGUAGUUAACUACAAACUUUAUAAUACAGUGCAAUAUAAUACAUUUUGCCCGCU
rnacentral:sRNA from 1 species